UACGUAGGCAGCAAGCGUUGCUCGGAGUUACUGGGCGUAAAGGGUGCGUAGGCGGCUUUUUAAGUCUGGUGUGAAAUCUCCCGGCUCAACUGGGAGGGUGCGCCGAAAACUGGAAUGCUUGAACAUGGGAGAGGAAAGCGGAAUUCCUGGUGUAGCGGUGAAAUGCGUAGAUAUCAGGAGGAACACCUGCGGUGUAGACGGCUUUCUGGACCAUUGUUGACGCUGAGACACGAAAGCGUGGGUAGCAAACAGG
rnacentral:rRNA from 1 species